rnacentral:rRNA from 1 species
AUUGAACGCUGGCGGAAUGCUUUACACAUGCAAGUCGAACGGCAGCACGGGAGCUUGCUCCUGGUGGCGAGUGGCGAACGGGUGAGUAAUGCAUCGGAACGUACCUAUUAGUGGGGGAUAACUAUCCGAAAGGAUAGCUAAUACCGCAUACGUCCUGAGGGAGAAAGCGGGGGAUCGCAAGACCUCGCGCUAAUAGAGCGGCCGAUGUUGGAUUAGCUAGUUGGUGGGGUAAAGGCCUACCAAGGCGACGAUCCAUAGCUGGUCUGAGAGGAGGAUCAGCCACCCUGGGACUGAGACACGGCCCAGACUCCUACGGGAGGCAGCAGUGGGGAAUUUUGGACAAUGGGCGCAACCCUGAUCCAGCCAUUCCGCGUGAGUGAAGAAGGCCUUCGGGUUGUAAAGCUCUUUCGGCAGGAACGAAACGGUGGUUACUAAUACUAGCUACUAAUGACGGUACCUGAAGAAGAAGCACCGGCUAACUACGUGCCAGCAGCCGCCGUAA